rnacentral:rRNA from 1 species
UGAGUAACACGUAUGCAACCUGCCUGCCACAGCCGGAUAAUCGGGAGAAAUUCCGUCUAAUACGGCAUAAUGCAUCGACGGGACAUCCUGUUGGUGCCAAAGGUUGAUUCCGGUGGCGGAUGGGCAUGCGUCGCAUUAGUUAGUUGGCGGUGUAACGGACCACCAAGACGACGAUGCGUAGGGGUUCUGAGAGGAAGGUCCCCCACACUGGAACUGAGACACGGUCCAAACUCCUACGGAAGGCAGCAG